ACGCACGCUGGCGGCGUGCUUCACACAUGCAAGUCGAACGGAAAGGCCCUUCGGGGUACUCGAGUGGCGAACGGGUGAGUAACACGUGGGUGAUCUGCCCUGCACUUUGGGAUAAGCCUGGGAAACUGGGUCUAAUACCGGAUAGGACCACGGCAUUCAUGUGCUGUGGUGGAAAGCUUUUGCGGUGUGGGAUGGGCCCGCGGCCUAUCAGCUUGUUGGUGGGGUAAUGGCCUACCAAGGCGACGACGGGUAGCCGGCCUGAGAGGGUGACCGGCCACACUGGGACUGAGAUACGGCCCAGACUCCUACGGGAGGCAGCAGUGGGGAAUAUUGCACAAUGGGCGCAAGCCUGAUGCAGCGACGCCGCGUGAGGGAUGACGGCCUUCGGGUUGUAAACCUCUUUCGCCAGGGACGAAGCGCAAGUGACGGUACCUGGAGAAGAAGGACCGGCCAACUACGUG
rnacentral:rRNA from 1 species